GCGGCGUGCUUAACACAUGCAAGUCGAGCGAAGCGAUUAAAUGAGACUUCGGUGGAUUUUAAAUUGACUGAGCGGCGGACGGGUGAGUAACGCGUGGAUAACCUGCCUCACACAGGGGGAUAAUAGUUAGAAAUGACUGCUAAUACCGCAUAAGCGCACGGUACCGCAUGGUACAGUGUGAAAAACUCCGGUGGUGUGAGAUGGAUCCGCGUCUGAUUAGGUAGUUGGUGAGGUAACGGCCCACCAAGCCGACGAUCAGUAGCCGACCUGAGAGGGUGACCGGCCACAUUGGGACUGAGACACGGCCCAAACUCCUACGGGAGGCAGCAGUGGGGAAUAUUGCACAAUGGGCGAAAGCCUGAUGCAGCAACGCCGCGUGAGUGAAGAAGUAUCUCGGUAUGUAAAGCUCUAUCAGCAGGGAAGAAAAUGACGGUACCUGACUAAGAAGCCCCGGCUAACUACGUGCCAGCAGCCGCGGUAAUACGUAGGGGGCAAGCGUUAUCCGGAUUUACUGGGUGUAAAGGGAGCGCAGACGGCACUGCAAGUCUGAAGUGAAAGCCCGGGGCUCAACCCCGGGACUGCUUUGGAAACUGUAGAGCUAGAGUGCUGGAGAGGCAAGCGGAAUUCCUAGUGUAGCGGUGAAAUGCGUAGAUAUUAGGAAGAACACCAGUGGCGAAGGCGGCUUGCUGG
rnacentral:rRNA from 1 species